rnacentral:rRNA from 1 species
CAGUAGCCGCGGUAACACCAGCACCUCGAGUGGUCAGGAGGUUUAUUGGGCCUAAAGCAUCCGUAGCCGGUUGCAUAAGUUUUCGGUUAAAUCUAUGCGCUUAACGUAUAGGCCGCCGAAAAUACUGUGCAGCUAGGGAGUGGGAGAGGUACACGGUACUCGAUAGGAAGGGGUAAAAUCCUUUGAUCUAUUGAUGACCACCUGUGGCGAAGGCGGUGUACCAGAACACGUUCGACGGUGAGGGAUGAAAGCUGGGGGAGCAAACAGGAUUAGAUACCCCCGUAGUCCCUGUCUCUUAUAC